rnacentral:rRNA from 1 species
AUGCACGCUGGCGGCGUGCCUAAUACUUGCAAGUCGAGCGAACAGACGAGGAGCUUGCUCCUCUGACGUUAGCGUCGGACGGGUGAGUAACACGUGGAUAACCUACCUAUAAGACUGGGAUAACUUCGGGAAACCGGAGCUAAUACCGGAUAAUAUAUUGAACCGCAUGGUUCAAUAGUGAAAGACGGUUUUGCUGUCACUUAUAGAUGGAUCCGCGCCGCAUUAGCUAGUUGGUAAGGUAACGGCUUACCAAGGCAACGAUGCGUAGCCGACCUGAGAGGGUGAUCGGCCACACUGGAACUGAGACACGGUCCAGACUCCUACGGGAGGCAGCAGUAGGGAAUCUUCCGCAAUGGGCGAAAGCCUGACGGAGCAACGCCGCGUGAGUGAUGAAGGUCUUCGGAUCGUAAAACUCUGUUAUUAGGGAAGAACAAAUGUGUAAGUAACUAUGCACGUCUUGACGGUACCUAAUCAGAAAGCCACGGCUAACUACGUG